GAUGAACGCUGGCGGCGUGCUUAACACAUGCAAGUCGAACGGAAAGGCCGAAGCUUGCUUCGGUACUCGAGUGGCGAACGGGUGAGCAACACGUGGGUGAUCUGCCCUGUACUUCGGGAUAAGCUUGGGAAACUGGGUCUAAUACCGGAUAUGACGAUCUCUUGGAUGGGGUUGUGGAAAGCUUUUGCGGUAUGGGAUGAGCUCGCGGCCUAUCAGCUUGUUGGUGGGGUAAUGGCCUACCAAGGCGUCGACGGGUAGCCGGCCUGAGAGGGUGUACGGCCACAUUGGGACUGAGAUACGGCCCAGACUCCUACGGGAGGCAGCAGUGGGGAAUAUUGCACAAUGGGCGCAAGCCUGAUGCAGCGACGCCGCGUGGGGGAUGACGGCCUUCGGGUUGUAAACUCCUUUCGCAAUCGACGAAGCCUUUUGGUGACGGUAGGUUGAGAAGAAGCACCGGCUAACUACGUG
rnacentral:rRNA from 1 species